AGGCCCAACCCGUGACCAAUCCGAUUCAUCUUCAACCUCUAUCCUCUUCCUCUACAUGUGCGUCCGCAGAUUGGACCAGUGCUCGCCGCCUCUUCUCUGAUCUCUCUUGCCUCACCGAUGUGUCACCCUGCCGGAUGCCUGCCCUCACCGCCUGCGACCAUCACCGACGGCUGGUGAGGCACGAGCGCCGCCUUGCUGCGCCCGCCGCCGUAGCGGCAUCAUACAUCUAGGGCGACGACCGCUGACACCUCCCAGGCGCGUCCCCUUCCCUCGCCGAUCCAAAUUUUCCGGAGUAUGAAAAGAUUUGUUGAAGAUAGUGGGGGCCGGCACAGAAGAUACUCAGAUCGGAGGUGAAAUCAGCAAGAAAAAAGUCCAUGAGAAGUUCCUGAUGAAUCUGAAGACUACGGUGGCCUGAUUUCCUUCUGUGAUGCUAGCAUUUCUCUGGAUGUAUAUGGCUUUAGUAUCUGUAGUUCUGUUCCCAAACUUGAGCUUCUUGGUGUGCAUAACACCUCCGUGCUGUAAACUGAUUGAAAUGGUCUUUUGCUUUGCUUAAGGUGGGUGCUGAGUCCCUAGAAUUCUAAAAGAAUCUUGGAGCCAAGAUUGUUUACUUAUUGACAUCACUAUCUCGACAUUAAAUAUGAUGAAUUACAGUUUGAAUAUUA